AAAGAGUAGCUAUGGAUGCAAGACCCUGCAUGGCCAAUCAAGUUCAUCACCUUCGACUAGCUGUUGAUGGAGCAAGAAGCUGGUUUGCUGAGAGGAAAUGAUCAACAACUAACAGAUUGCUCAGUAAUUUUCAAGUGUAUUUACUCAUGUAUUUUCAUUAUUUUUUCUGGGUGAUGUUUUAGCAAGAAGCUGGUUUGCUGAGAGGAAAUGAUCAACUACCAACACUAGGGCUGGAGCGUUAGCCACUACACUCGCUGCUGCUUAGUAUCUAUGGAAAUUGCUUGGUCUUUUUUGUAUGGCUCUAUUGACAUUAGGUGCUUCAGUUCAUCAAUCAAAUGUUAUGUUUUUGUA